AUAUCUCUCUGUACGGGAAGGAUGAGAAGCUUCGACUAAGGUUCGAUUCGAGCGUCAGCGCGAAAGCGUUGCCGCAGGCAACGACCCGAAGGGCGAAGCGCGCAGCGCUGAGUCAUCCUUCCCCCACCACCA
rnacentral:sRNA from 1 species